GAUGAACGCUAGCGGGAGGCCUAACACAUGCAAGCCGAGCGGUAUUGUUUCUUCGGAAAUGAGAGAGCGGCGUACGGGUGCGUAACACGUGUGCAACCUGCCUUUAUCUGGGGGAUAGCCUUUCGAAAGGAAGAUUAAUACUCCAUAAUAUAUUGAACGGCAUCGUUUAAUAUUGAAAGCUCCGGCGGAUAGAGAUGGGCACGCGCAAGAUUAGCUAGUUGGUGAGGUAACGGCUCACCAAGGCGAUGAUCUUUAGGGGGCCUGAGAGGGUGAUCCCGCACACUGGUACUGAGACACGGACCAGACUCCUACGGGAGGCAGCAGUGAGGAAUAUUGGUCAAUGGGUGCAAGCCUGAACCAGCCAUCCCGCGUGAAGGACGACUGCCCUAUGGGUUGUAAACUUCUUUUGUAUAGGGAUAAACCUACCCUCGUGAGGGUAGCUGAAGGUACUAUACGAAUAAGCACCGGCUAACUCCGUGCCAGCCGCCGCCGUAAUAC
rnacentral:rRNA from 1 species